GCAGAAGAUGCCGGCCACACCAGAGGGAAGAAGCAGUAAGGGAGGAAGGAAUCUAGUGGCCUUAGCUAGCCACCUGAGUUAAAUCUUCACUGCCACCUGACUUUGGCCAGAGGAUACUGGUGCUGAAGCCUGCAUGGCAAGGCAGUGAGGAAAAAUGUCAAGGGAUGCACUGUCCUUUCCGGUGGCCCACGUGACUGCCCACCGCAUGGGUUCCUAUGAACUCCCACGAUGAGAAAGAGGCCCUGCCCGGGGAGCCGUGUGGAUUUUCCCCGGCCGGCCACCCUGGGAGCAGCAGCUGCCUUGCCUGUGGAA